GACCGGAAAGGGAAAAAUAGAGAGUGGAAAGGGAAAAGCGGAGAGACGAAAAAAAAAACGGAGAGACGAAAGGAAAAAACAGUUAGAAAAAGAGAGAACUAAAAAGCGACAGGUUGAACAGCAAAAACCGCAAAAGAAAAAAACAGAAUAUAAACACCAACGAACGACACCAACAGGAUAUUCCAAGAAAAGUAAGAAAACGCCUCUAUUUGAUACAGAAUUCCACCAAGGAUUAGGAAAAUCAGCCGUAAAAUUAUCCAAUUUUAUUCUAGAUGCUACAGAAAGUUUACUUGGUGACAUAAUUAUAAAUGGUAAGAGAUUUAGCUUUAAUGAUUUAAAAAAUAAGAAUGUGGUAAUAGAAUAUUAGAAAUCUGAAAAUUGCGAUAUUUUCACAAUUAUUGUCACAAAAAUCUCAGCCGGAUUCGAUAUCAAGAAUGCCUGGGAUUGGAGUUACCUUAGAGCCUGUCCAGAUGAGGCGUUUUACGUGCGAGUGAGCGCGUACGUCUGAGAUACUAGAGCUAUAUAAAUCGCGUCCAGUAGCCCUAGCACGGUA